rnacentral:ncRNA from 1 species
ACAGCGCAAGCCGAAAAGCUGUUAUUAAAAAGAGUAGGCA